ensembl:lncRNA
CGGAUAUUUUACCACCAGGCUGCGUAUGCGCGCCGUUCCGCACAGAAAUAAUUAUCAAACUUCAACUCAGCCUGCACACAUACCUUCGAUUCCACUUUCAAACCGUCUUCCUCUUGUUCUGCUUGCUUUUUCUGUUAGUCAGACAUGGAAAAUACUUUUACAAAGAAAACGAGAGAAAGACUAUUAUCAUACUGACUAUAUUGUGAGACUGACUUAUUCUGUACUUGACAGCUGUUCAUUUUGGGUUUUAAAUAUUGGAGUUUUCCUCUAAUUUAAGUCUCAGACCCCAGAAGAGCACAGUACUGGUGUCUUGGGCCGGAUCGGGAGCUGGUUCUCCCCCUGGAAAGAAAGAGGGAGCCCCAGGAGUCCAAGUGACGAUGCCUCUCAGUCCCAGACGGAAGACCAGAGCCCCAGGCCACAAGGAGAGGGGGCCCAGGAGGAGCCUGUGAGGGGAGAAGAGGAGCAGCAGAAGGAGGGACCGAAUUCCCAGCCUGCCCAGCGGCAUCUCUCCAGGGUUUUUGAGGAGUGGAACACGGCGGACGCCAGAGCGUCUACCCACAGGGACAGCCCCCUCUCUGCAGCCAGCAGCCACAGCGAGUGGGGAGAAGGAGGAGGUCCUAGGGAGGAGGAGUGGUGGAUUGCCUCGCAGGGAGAGGAAACGGAGGAGGAGGGGGGAAGGAGCAGUGGAGCGAGCGGGAAUCCUGCCCCGAAGAGGAAUGCCAGCCAUCUGACACGUGUUCUUUCAUCUGCCCUUGAAGAGGGAGUGGCCUGGGAGGACUUUGACCGACAGGAACACACCCAGGCCCUGCCCCGAGCCCAAGUCCAGGCAGGCAAGAGGCUGCAUGUGUACCUGGAGGAGACGAGCCUGAGCCUGAGCCAGAACGGAACGAACACCCACACAAAGCAGGAAGUGCCCCACACCAUCAUCACCACCAGGGUGAAGAAAAGACUUCAGGUGGUUUCCAGAGCAAAAUCAUCCAAGAGUGUUGACUUGUCAUCAGAGAACACCAAUACAAAGGAGAGGACAGAGGAGCGCAAAAGGAUUUGUCUCAAAGCUGCUAUAGGGAUCAAAGGUCAUAGCAGUUACAGUGCCCUGGUGGGAGUGUCACUGAAGUCCCCUACAGAGACACAGACGAGCUCACGGACCAUCCCUGAGCUCUCUGGUGAAGAGGAGUCAGACAGAGACACAGACACGAUGGGCCGUAAGAACUCAGGCAAGAGGCGGUCCAGGAAGAACUCCUCCGGAGACGGA